CACGGGGGGAGCAAGCGUUGUUCGGAAUUACUGGGCGUAAAGGGCUCGUAGGCGGCCAACUAAGUCAGACGUGAAAUCCCUCAGCUUAACUGGGGAACUGCGUCUGAUACUGGAUGGCUUGGAUUUGGGAGAGGGAUGCGGAAUUCCAGGUGUAGCGGUGAAAUGCGUAGAUAUCGGAAGGAACAUCAGUGGCGAAAGCGACUUCCUGGACCAGUACCGACGUUCAGGCACGAAAGCGUGGGGAGCAAACAGG
rnacentral:rRNA from 1 species